rnacentral:rRNA from 1 species
UACGGAGGGUGCAAGCGUUAUCCGGAUUCACUGGGUUUAAAGGGUGCGUAGGUGGAUCGGUAAGUCCGUGGUGAAAUCCCCGAGCUUAACUCGGGAACUGCCGUGGAUACUAUCGAUCUUGAAUACUGUGGAGGUAAGCGGAAUAUGUCAUGUAGCGGUGAAAUGCUUAGAUAUGACAUAGAACACCGAUAGCGAAGGCAGCUUGCUACACAGUUAUUGACACUGAGGCACGAAAGCGUGGGGAGCAAACGGG